rnacentral:rRNA from 1 species
GGAGUUAGCCGGUGCUUCUUCUGCGAGUAACGUCACAGAUGUAAGGUAUUAACUUACACCCUUUCCUCCUCGCUGAAAGUGCUUUACAACCCGAAGGCCUUCUUCACACACGCGGCAUGGCUGCAUCAGGGUUUCCCCCAUUGUGCAAUAUUCCCCACUGCUGCCUCCCGUAGGAGUCUGGGCCGUGUCUCAGUCCCAGUGUGGCUGAUCAUCCUCUCAGACCAGCUAGGGAUCGUCGCCUAGGUGAGCCUUUACCUCACCUACUAGCUAAUCCCACCUGGGAUUAUCCAUCAGCGCAAGGCCCGAAGGUCCCCUGCUUUCCCCCGUAGGGCGUAUGCGGUAUUAGCAGUCGUUUCCAACUGUUAUCCCCCACAAAUGGGCAAAUUCCCAGGCAUUACUCACCCGUCCGCCGCUCGUCAUCUUCAAAAGCAAGCUUUUGAAAUGUUACCGCUCGACUUGCAUGUGUUAGGCCUGCCGCCAGCGUUCAAUCUGAGCCAGAUCAAACUCUGA